rnacentral:rRNA from 1 species
AGCGAACGCUGGCGGCAGGCUUAACACAUGCAAGUCGAGCGGGCCCUUCGGGGUCAGCGGCGGACGGGUGAGUAACGCGUGGGAACGUGCCUUCUGGUCUGGAAUAACCCUGGGAAACUAGGGCUAAUACCGGAUACGCCCUUUUGGGGAAAGGUUUACUGCCGGAAGAUCGGCCGCGUCUGAUUAGCUAGUUGGUGGGGUAACGGCCUACCAAGGCGACGAUCAGUAGCUGGUCUGAGAGGAUGAUCAGCCACACUGGGACUGAGACACGGCCCAGACUCCUACGGGAGGCAGCAGUGGGGAAUAUUGGACAAUGGGCGCAAGCCUGAUCCAGCCAUGCCGCGUGAGUGAUGAAGGCCUUAGGGUUGUAAAGCUCUUUUAUCCGGGACGAUAAUGACGGUACCGGAGGAAUAAGCCCCGGCUAACUUCGUG